rnacentral:rRNA from 1 species
UACGGAGGGUGCAAGCGUUAUCCGGAUUCACUGGGUUUAAAGGGUGCGCAGGCGGGAGAGUAAGUCAGAGGUGAAAUCUCACAGCUUAACUGUGAAACUGCCUUUGAUACUGCUUUUCUUGAGUUCGGGAGAGGUUGAUGGAAUUCCCGGUGUAGUGGUGAAAUGCGUAGAUAUCGGGAGGAACACCAGUGGCGAAGGCGACUACCUGGCCUGUUCUUGACGCUGAGGCGCGAAAGCUAGGGGAGCAAACGGGG